GUCAGAGGGAGAGUAAAGAAGAGAGAGAAAGAAGAAGAAGAAAGAAUAAAGAAAAAUCGAAUGUAGAGCUUCACCGGAGCUGGGUCUUAGUAUUUUGAGCUUGGAUUAAUGAUCAACUCACCGAGAUCUUUGAUUUUAGGAUAUGGAAGGAGUAUUAAUGAAGAUCUAGAGUAUUUGGAGGUUCUUGAGCAAAUGAAGUGGAAUUUAGGGUUUCAUUGGUGUUCUUGAGAAAGAGGUUACUCGCCUAGAGAUCAGGAGUCGGGCCCCAUCGUGGAGUUUCCCUUUGAGGACUGGUGGGUCCUCGAUGUGUUCGAUCACGGUGCCAAUUGCACGUGAGAGGAUGUGCUACAUGGCAGCUGUGACUCCUGAGUGAUUCUUUUUUAUUCUUUUUGAUGUACUCCCUUUUGAUUACUUGAUGCUUAAAUUGUUAUAUUUUUAUGUAUAUAUCAUGCCU